rnacentral:ribozyme from 1 species
UCCCUUAAUUCCACAGGUCAUUUAUUCUUUUAAAAGCUCUGUGUUAUAAUUCAAAAUGGUGUC